rnacentral:rRNA from 1 species
ACGGGAGGCAGCAGUGGGGAAUAUUGCACAAUGGGCGAAAGCCUGAUGCAGCGACGCCGCGUGAGUGAAGAAGUAUUUCGGUAUGUAAAGCUCUAUCAGCAAGGAAGAAAAUGACGGUACUUGACUAAGAAGCUCCGGCUAAAUACGUGCCAGCAGCCGCGGUAAUACGUAUGGAGCAAGCGUUAUCCGGAUUUACUGGGUGUAAAGGGAGCGUAGACGGCAAAGCAAGUCUGAAGUGAAAUCCCGGGGCUCAACCCCGGAACUGCUUUGGAAACUGUUUAGCUAGAGUGCAGGAGAGGUAAGCGGAAUUCCUAGUGUAGCGGUGAAAUGCGUAGAUAUUAGGAGGAACACCAGUGGCGAAGGCGGCUUACUGGACUGUAACUGACGUUGAGGCUCGAAAGCGUGGGGAGCAAACAGGAUUAGAUACCCUGGUA